GACGAACGCUGGCGGCGUGCUUAACACAUGCAAGUCGAACGAGUGGCGAACGGGUGAGUAACGCAUCGGAACGUACCGAGUCAUGGGGGAUAACUGUCCGAAAGGACAGCUAAUACCGCAUAUUAUUCGAGCGGCCGAUGUUGGAUUAGCUGGUGGGCGGGGUAAAGGCCCACCAAGGCGACGAUCAGUCGCGGGUCUGAGAGGAUGAUCCGCCACACUGGGACUGAGACACGGCCCAGACUCCGACGGGAGGCAGCAGUGGGGAAUUUUGGACAAGGGGCGCAAGCCUGAUCCAGCCAUGCCGCGUGUCUGAAGAAGGCCUUCGGGUUGUAAAGGACUUUUGUCAGGGAAGCGGUACCUGAAGAAUAAGCACCGGCUAACUACGUGCCAGCAGCCGCGGUAAUAC
rnacentral:rRNA from 1 species